rnacentral:rRNA from 1 species
AAGGAGCGGCCUAGGGUAAAACCGGUAACUGGGGCUAAGUCGUAACAAGGUAGCCGUACCGGAAGGUGUGGCUGGAAUACCUCCUUU